rnacentral:rRNA from 1 species
GACGAACGCUGGCGGCGUGCCUAAUACAUGCAAGUCGAGCGCAGGAAGCAAGCGGAUCCCUUCGGGGUGAAGCUUGUGGAAUGAGCGGCGGACGGGUGAGUAUCACGUGGGCAACCUGCCUUGCAGACUGGGAUAACUCCGGGAAACCGGGGCUAAUACCGGAUGACCAUUUGGAUCGCAUGAUCCGGAUGUAAAAGUGGGGAAUUUAUUCCUCACACUGCGAGAUGGGCCCGCGGCGCAUUAGCUAGUUGGUAAGGUAAUGGCUUACCAAGGCAACGAUGCGUAGCCGACCUGAGAGGGUGAUCGGCCACACUGGAACUGAGACACGGUCCAGACUCCUACGGGAGGCAGCAGUAGGGAAUCAUCCGCAAUGGGCGAAAGCCUGACGGUGCAACGCCGCGUGAACGAUGAAGGUUUUCGGAUCGUAAAGUUCUGUUAUGAGGGAAGAACAAGUGCCGGUCAAAUAGGCCGGCACCUUGACGGUACCUCACGAGAAAGCCCCGGCUAACUACGUGCCAGCAGCCGCGGUAAUACGUAGGGGGCAAGCGUUGUCCGGAAUUAUUGGGCGUAAAGCGCGMGCAGGCGGUCUCUUAAGUCUGAUGUGAAAGCCCACGGCUCAACCGUGGAGGGUCAUUGGAAACUGGGAGACUUGAGWGUAGGAGAGGAAAGUGGAAUUCCACGUGUAGCGGUG